CUUACCCGACGGCGCUGCGCCAACCGCAAGGAGGCAGGCGACCACGGUAGGGUCAGCGACUGGGUG
rnacentral:rRNA from 1 species